CGCCCCUCCCCCAGCCUUGCUGCCGCCUUGCAGUUUGAUCUCAGACUGCUGUGCUAGAAAUCAGCGAGACUCCGUGGGCGUAGGAGCCUCCGAGCCAGGUCUGCUGGAGUUUGCUGGAGGUUCACUCCAGACCCUAUUUGCCUGGGUAUCACCAGUGGAGGCUGCAGAACAGCAAAGAUUGCUGCCUAUUCCUUCCUCUGGAAGCUUCUUCCUAGAGAGUCACCUGCCAGAUGCCAGCCAGAGCUCCCCGAAAUGAGGUAUUCAGUGACAUCUUUCUAAAUUGUUUAAAAUGAGAAGCAUUGCACACUGAGAGUCAGGAUCCAAGUGUCUUUGACUGAGCCAACUCAGCUCUGCUAUUAACUUAUGGUGUGAUCGCAGGCUGUCUAGAAAAGGACACCAACAAUCACCCAUGAAGAUUGCCCUUCAACCUUUGGGAGGAAAUGAUCGAAAUGGGAGCUAGAGAAGAUUGUUGUUGGAAUCUCAGGAAAAAGUCAUAAUCCAGGCCAAAGUGAGCAAACUCCCAAGAGCAUUCCUGGUCAGCACCGCAGCAAAUCCGUGGCAAGUGCAGAGAUUAUAAGCAAUUUCUCCAUGGCUGGAAUUCAGUUGAUCUGGGACUGAACCUAUUUCUAAUGGGGUCUUGAUAUAUUGCCCAGGCUGGAGUGCAGGGGCUAUUCACAGGCACAAUCAUAGCUCACUACAGUCUCAAACUCCUAAUCUCAAGCAGUAGCUGGGACUGUAAGUAUGCACCAACACUCCCGGUUUGGGUAUCUCCAUUGAUUGGCAACCAGCACCACAGUAGAUGCUGAUGAAAAGAAAGUUAUGAAUGUCAUGUAAAAUGACAGUAGUAUUAGCAAAUGUGCUUUUAAUUAUAAGAAAAUUACAAUAUGUAAAAAAAUUUCAAUUUUCCCAUAUUAUCUCUUAAUAAUAACUGCCAUUUGUUGAGCCCAUUGGGUAUGUUACAUAUAUUAACACAACAGGAUGGACAUUAUCUAUCUUAUAUAUAUUAUGUGUAUAUAUACGGAAAACAGGACACAAAUUGUCUGAGGCCAUGGACAAUUAGCUUGCAGUAAAGUAGGAUUCUAAAUUAGGUUUCUCUAGCUCCAAGACCCAUGCCAUUUUGUUUGGUCAUUUGCUUCUGAUGAAUCAAAUAUUAAUUCAGCCAAAGACAGCUAUUCAAAGCUGGUUGAAUAACUUACUAUGUGUAAUUCACUUGUGUCCUGCCUUUCUUCCGAACUUUUGUACAAAACCUUGAUUAUUUUAAUAAGGCAUUCUAUACAUAAAGUUUCAAAUAAACCAUAAGUACCUCAAGAAAAUGUCAUAUAAUUUAGAAUUGAAUCAUAGCAUAUUUUUAAUCUGGAAGCAACAUAUCUAAAUAAGCCAUUUUUAUAUUAUAAAUACAAACAGGUACAAAGAAGUAUAGUUCACUUUACAAGCUGUUGUACAUGCAUAAUACCAUAUUAUGCUACCAAAGAAACUAUUAAGUUAUACAUAUUUUUUACAGCUUUAACUAUUUUUGUUGUCAAUUUCCUCUAAUAAGAUUUUUUCUGGAUAAACAAAAAUUUAUCUACUCAAAUGAUUGUUUUUCUUCAACAUCAUAAUGUUGCAGGCCUAUUGAUGUAUAUUUUUGUGUACUAAAUAGUUUGUGGAGCUCUUCUUGAAGAAUUAUCUUCAGAGCUGAUUAACCAGACACACCCUCCAGACAUCAUAGUCACAGCUGCUUUGAGACAGCAACAACCUCAUCCCCGCAAAUAGUAUGGAUUCCUGUCUUAUUCAAUAGGUCUGAAUUUUAAAUACUCUUAGCUUAUUUCAAGAACUAAAUCUAUCCUCCACAAAUAAAAAUGUGCUGCCGCUCAGAAUAUUUAGGAGAAUAUGUGAUAGCCAAGAUACUUUUGGCUUAUUUCAAAAAUUCAUCUAUCUCCACAAAGGAAAAUGUUUCACCAUUCAGAAUAUUCAAGAGAAUUUUCUUAGAAAAGAAAUCCAAGAUUGUAUUCAUUGGAAUAACAGACCUUUCUUCAAGGUGACUUCUUUCAAAAGAACAAUAUUUAGGGGUAUAUAGAACAUCAUUUUUAAAAUAAUUUAUUUUGCUAUAUUUACCACAUUUCAUGACACCCUAAAAGAUUUUGGCUAAUGAAAUUUAUACAGUUCAAAUGUGUAUUCCUGAAGAGACAAGACUGAGGGAAAAAAAAUUAUCUCAAAGUCAUUCUCAAAUUAGACAUGAAAUGAAUUAUUAAUUUCUACAUAUUUUACCAUCAUGCUUGUAGUUUUAAUAAACAAAAAUCAAAUGCAUAUAGGCUUCACACACUUUGUGUAAUUGCUUGUUUAACAUCCCCAAAUUCCAUAAAUGCAAAAACUAGAUCUGUCUGGCUUUCCAUUAAGUCCCCAGCACCUAGCAAGGUGCUUAACAAAUAGCAGAUGGAUGUUGGAAGGAAUAAAGGAACAAAGAAAAGAAUAGAAGAAGUUAGUGACUUGAUUCUAUACAGAGUGGACCUUGACACAUACUGCAAGUGAAUGUUAAACUAAAAGUAUAAUUUCUUUAUCAGUGAAUAUAUUUCCAUGAAUUUUAAGUAUUUUGCUGAUGAUUUAUUAAAUAUGUAUUUCACUACUUUCUUUUCUUUUAAUCAGUCCUAUUCCAUCCCCUUCAAAUAAUAAAAAAGUUUCAAUGAUUCAGACUAUUUUUGAAAAGAAGCAUACACACACACACACACACACACACACACACACUAAACAAGCCUUUAAAACUAAAAAGAUUCAUCAGAAAAUCUUACAAACUCUGGAAAGAAUACAUCUCAACAAUUCUCUGCACUUGAAGGAUAAUUUGAAAGGCACAGUUUGCCUUCAUUAAUAAAUCUUAACACUAAUGAACCUGCAAGAAGGAUUUAGGAAUCCAUUGUACUUGAAAAAGAUCAAGAGGAACAUUGUCACAUCAGGAAACCGUGCUAAGAGCUCGUUAAAUGGCCUGACUUAAAAUGCUGUAUGAACCUAAACAAAGAAGUUUUUAUAGUGUAUCUUUCUGCUUCUACCUGCCUAGAUAUCAAAUUAUGUUAUGAAGCAUUCUCUAUAAAGGAAUAGAUCAAUGCCAUAUCUCCCUCAUAGGAAUGGGACAGAUAUUAUUUGACUCCACUUACGGUUGCUAUGAAAUUUAGGCCCUCUCUUGCUAGAACUUCUCAUUUUUCAAGAGAAGCCAGAAAUAAGAUUGUUAUGUAAAUCUUAACAUUUUUAGUGCUGGCAACUAUUUAAAUUUUUUAGACACUGUGGGGGACUUCUGCUUUUCAUAAGGAUGUCAGAAGUUCACCCUAGAACAAGCUGGCUAAACUAGGUUAAAAUUAAAACCAUCCAGGAAUUGAAGCACAAAGAAACCUAAAUAAGGUGAUAAGCCCUUCCUAGGACAGAAGAGAUGCACAGCUACUUUCAUCCCUGAUGAAGCAGCAGGAGAAGGGAGAAUCUACCAUAGACAGCAGUAAGGAGGAACCAGACAAACUUUUAACAAACUUUUAAUGGCUAUCCGUUGAGAUUAUGGAUUAAAUUUCUGGGCUUUAGCCACAGAACAAGUCUGCAUCAUCUCACCAAUGGUGUCUUCACUAAGUGCAUGCAGGUAGUAUACUGAAGGCUGGGAGUGGAAGGAGAGGAGGCAGGGUCUGCUGAGGCAUGCAGGUCUUCCCCAAGUACAAGGGGGAAACCACUGAAGAUCAGGGACAGGAGAGAAACGCUAAGAAAAGUCCCUUUAAGGUCUCUACUGAUGUUCAGAAGUAGACCUCCAAAGAAAGAAUUAAGGUACCUCUCAAAGAUACAGAAAGCUGGAGGUGGGACCUAUGGGAAAUAUCACCUGGC
rnacentral:lncRNA from 1 species